CAACUACAUUGAAGCAUUCAUUCUAUCGAUGUAUGACAUACUUUCUGGUCACUCAGGGCCAAACACUUCUCUCUACAACAGAAAUGAUCCCAGAAAAAGAGAAUUCCUCUGUGGAAUAUGUAGACUGUGGACUACCUCUGUGGAUUAUCUCCUCUACCUACUUGUUUGACAACAAUGAAGAAAAAAUGUAAUAUAUUUUGCUUUCUUUUUGGGUCAAAAGAGGAUGUUUUUUUGUUGCUUGUGUGAAUAUUUCUCAAUAUAUUUAUAAUCUAUUUGACCUUGUUAUGUCAUUUCCUCUUUAUGCAAUAGUAGAUGCUGCAAGACUGUCAAAUAGUCCAUUUGUCACCAUGACCCCAGAGCAUGAACCUUCAGCCCUGCUCUGCCCUGACACUUUACCGACUGACAAUCUAAUGACAUUUCCUGUUUUGGCUGUAUGAAUAAGAUUUUUUCUGAUGACUCUGGUUUUCUAAACAUUGUAUGUGCCCAAUGUUACCUUAUUUGGAUUCAUAAACUCUUAUCAAGCUAUUUUUUUCUUCUAUAUGACUCAUCAGUUUAUAAUUGUGUUCCUAUUUGUCAACAUUGUUUCCCUCUUCUUUCAUCCUGAAAAAAUAUGUGUUGAGAAAGUCAGAGGACCAGAAAGUCACUAACCCAUCCAGCCCACUCCACCACACAUUGUUUAUGAUAUACAGUACCUCCCACUAAGGAGGUGAGCAGAACAAUAUUUUUAGAGGUGUAUAAAAGGAAGAGAGUUUGGUGAGUGGUCUCAGUACCCCCAGUGUGACCUCUCUUCAGGUAGCUUGACCCUUCUAGUUAAUGUUUUGAAAGGUCUUGACAGAAGGGACCAUGGGAAAGACUCCUAGUGGACAUUAAAGCCUGGGGUUAUGUGGGAAAGGGCCUGUGAGUUCCCAGGGGUCACACAGGGUCAACUUUCAUGUCAGCAGAGACAUACCUGUCCAGGGGCACCAAGGCACUUUUCCAGGAAAUUACCCUCACUUGUCUCAAUUAGAGAGCUGCUACUGAAAGGCUGCCCUUUGUUGAUGAGAGGAAUGAUGAAGUAAUAAGACCAAACUCUCUCUGUCUCUGCUGCAUUAAGAAAAGGAGGCUUUUAGCACAGGGUCACGAUAAGAUACCUUCCUUGUUGUCCUUUGCCCCUCUCCUUGAGGACAUGUAGACAUACUAUUGCCAGGGGAACUUUUUAUAAGCAAACUAAUGCAUGCCACAUGACAUAAUAUCAGUUAAUUAAGUGAUAAUGCCCGAGAAGCUGGUGUUUAGAGGAUAUAUUGGCAUUAUUUUGAUGAAUUUAUUCAUACUAUUUCAUCCUUCCAUGAGAUAGUCCCGACACAAAUUUAGGGUUGCUACCCAUUCGUUCUAUCGGUUCGGGUGCCAGAGACGUGACCCAGUUGUUAAGUCUUUUUGUUCUGUAUCUAUAGAUGCGACCCAGUCAUUCGAUUUAAAUGUUCUAUUGACAUACUGGCUGGCAAUGUUCUUAUGCCUUGCUUUCUAGGUAGCCAACUACGGCUAACUUACAGUCACAACAAAAAGUGCCGCCAGAAUAACAGCAGAGUAGCUGCUUUUGCGUUUGUUUAAGUUGUUUUCUACUGACAUUUAUUUGUAUACAUCCAUCACAAUGAGCUAAUGAGGCGCGAUCUUGCCUGACAUAGAAAAUGUGCUCUCUCGUCAGGCCACUAUUGUUCAGAGGAGCUAGCCAACAAUAAGGCUAACACAAGUACUUCAAACUGAAGCUGGAAUGACUGAAAACUAGUUGCAUUUAAUUUAGUUUGACCUGUUUUCUAUUGACAUUUCUUUGUAUAUAUCCAUAAAAAAUUAUCCCAGCUGAUUCAUGAUUUUGACUGGCUGAGAAAAGCUGUCUGCCUGUCUGUCUCGUCCUGAAUCCUGACAUGUUCAUUACUAUGGGACAGUUGGAGAUUGAAUUUCAAUAUUGGAACAAUGUUGCAAAUGUCAGAGAAACAGACAGCAAGGUUUAUACAAAUCUCUGCUGUUGAAAACCAAAUGCUAGUCUUAAAGAAAUAGGGGAUAGUUUAGAUGCUUUUUAUAGUGGAAAUCAAGUUUAUAAAUAGGCUGAUGAGACAGUGGAUUGCGCAGUUAGAUGGAACAGAGUAAAUAGGCAUUUCAACGUCAUAGAUUUAACUGGUGGUAACUUGUGGAAUAGACACCGGCUGGAAUGCGGUUUUAACCAAUUGGCAUCCAGGAUUAGACUCACCCGUUGUAUAACAUUUAAUAACUAUGGUGUUACCCAGUUAACAGUUUGUUAAACUAAUAACAACAUUCAUUUCCGUCAUGUGUUCUACUAUUACUUCUAGUCAUUGAUUAUAUUAUUAAUUCACUUGUACAUAUAAAAUAGUUAAUAAAAUGUAAUGUCAUUUAUUUGUGGCAAUAGACAUUUGGGACUAAUCCAUUAGGUAAGAUACUCAUCUAUGGGUUAGUGGUUUAUGCUGUCUGUAUUCUGUCAUUUGUGAUAAAUAAAUAAAAUGCUUCAGCGAUCACCAGCGCUUGGCUUUGCACCAAUCA